rnacentral:rRNA from 1 species
GAUGAACGCUGGCGGCGUGCCUAAUACAUGCAAGUCGAGCGGACGGACGAGAAGCUUGCUUCUCUGAUGUUAGCGGCGGACGGGGGAGUAACACGUGUAUAACCUACCUAUAAGACUGGGAUAACUUCGGGAAACCGUAGCUAAUACCGGAUAAUAUUUUGAACCGCAUGGUUCAAAAGUGAAAGACGCUCUUGCUUUCCCUUAUAGAUGGAUCCGCGCUGCAUUAGCUAGUUGGUAAGGUAACGGCUUACCAAGGCAACGAUGCAUAGCCGACCUGAGAGGGUGAGCGGCCACACUGGAACUGAGACACGGUCCAGACUCCUACGGGAGGCAGCAGUAGGGAAUCUUCCGCAAUGGGCGAAAGCCUGACGGAGCAACGCCGCGUGGGUGAUGAAGGUCUUCGGAUCGUAAAGCUCUGUUAUUAGGGAAGAACAUAUGUGUAAGUAACUGUGCACGUCUUGACGGUACCUAAUCAGAAAGCCACGGCUAACUACGUG